GGGCAUGGCGGCGGCUACACAUGCAGUCGAGCGAGUGUGAUCCAAAGCUUGCUCUUAUGAAGUUGGCGGCGGACGGGUGAGUAACACGUGGGUAACCUGCCCAUAAGACUGGGAUAACUCCGGGAAACCGGGGCUAAUACCGGAUAACAUUUUGAACCGCAGGGUUCGAAAUUGAACGGCGGCUUCGGCUGUCACUUAUGGAUGGACCCGCGUCGCAGUAUCUAGUUGGUGAGGUAACGGCUCACCAAGGCGACGAUACGUAACCAACCUGAGAGGGUGAUCGGCCACACUGGGACUGAGACACGGCCCAGACUCCUACGGGAGGCAGCAAUAGGGAAUCUUCCGCAAUGGACGAAAGUCUGACGGAGCAACGCCGCGUGAGUGAUGAAGGCUUUCGGGUCGUAAAACUCUGUUGUUAGGGAAGAACAAGUGCUAGUUGAAUAAGCUGGCACCUUGACGGUACCUAACCAGAACGCCACGGCUAACUACGUGCCAGCAGCCGCGGUAAUACGUAUGUGGCAAGCGUUAUCUGGAAUUAUUGGGCGUAAAGCGCGCGCACGUGGUUUCUUAAGUCUGAUGUGAAAGCCCACGGCUCAUCCGUGGAGGGUCAUUGGAGACUGGGAGACUUGAGUGCAGAACAGGAAAGUGGAAUUCCAUGUGUAGCGGUGAGAUGCAUAGAGAUAUGGAGGAACACCAGUGGCGAACGCGACUUUCUGGUCUGUAACUGACACUGAGGCGCGAAAGCGUGUGGAGCACACGGGAUUAGAUACCCUGGUAGUCCACGCCGUAUACGAUGAGUGCUAAGUGUUAGAGGGUUUCCGCCCUUUAGUGCUGAAGUUAACGCAUUAAGCACUCCGCCUGGUGAGUACGGCCGCAAGGCUGAGACUCACAGGAAUUGACGGGGGCCCGCACAAUCGGUGGAACAUGUGGGUUUAAUUCGAAGCAACGCGAAGAACCUUACCAGGUCUUGACAUCCUCUGACAACCCUAGAGAUAGGGCUUCUCCUUCGGGAGCAGAGUGACAGGUGGUGCAUGGUUGUCGUCAACUCGUGUCUUGAAAUGUUUGGGUUAAGUCCCGCAACGAGCGCAACCCUUGAUCUAGUUGCCAUCAAUUAAAUUGGGGACUCUAAGGUGACUGCCGGUGACAAACCGAAGAAAGGUGGGG
rnacentral:rRNA from 1 species